rnacentral:rRNA from 1 species
GUGGGGAAUAUUGCACAAUGGGCGAAAGCCUGAUGCAGCAACGCCGCGUGAGUGAUGAAGGUCUUCGGAUUGUAAAGCUCUGUCUUUUGGGACGAUAAUGACGGUACCAAAGGAGGAAGCCACGGCUAACUACGUGCCAGCAGCCGCGGUAAUACGUAGGUGGCGAGCGUUGUCCGGAUUUACUGGGCGUAAAGGGUGCGUAGGCGGAUGUUUAAGUGAGAUGUGAAAUACCCGGGCUUAACUUGGGUGCUGCAUUUCAAACUGGAUAUCUAGAGUGCAGGAGAGGAGAAUGGAAUUCCUAGUGUAGCGGUGAAAUGCGUAGAGAUUAGGAAGAACACCAGUGGCGAAGGCGAUUCUCUGGACUGUAACUGACGCUGAGGCACGAAAGCGUGGGUAGCAAACAGGAUUAGAUACCCUGGUAGUCCACGCCGUAAACGAUGAGUACUAGGUGUAGGAGGUAUCGACCCCUUCUGUGCCGCAGUAAACACAUUAAGUACUCCGCCUGGGAAGUACGAUCGCAA